GCAUGGAGGAAAGAAACAAAGAGGUUUACAAUUUCAUUUCUCAUUACAUAGUGCACUUAUCGAUGCCUGAUGUUGUGAGAAAAUACCCCGUACGCCUCAGCAAAGCUUGCCGAACCAGGAUCUCGAGAAGCUGCGGUAUCUGCCAGUUCCUGUGGUGUUUCCAACCCUGACAUAGCAGAAGAAUGCAGCAGUCACUUUUAUUUGUGAUGGUCUCAUUCUUCAUGUUUUCCAAGUGAAAAGCAACUUUGCUAAAGUUUUAAUGUACAUUUAAGCUCCUAGUCAAUUGCAAAACUAGCAACAUUUUUUCGAAAUAAAUUGUUCAGCAUGUUCA